AUGCUCACUUCGGCAGCACAUAUACUAAAAUUGCAGUAAUACAGAGAAGAUUAGCAUGGCCCCUGUGUAAGGAUGACAUGCAAAUUUGUGAAGCGUUCCAUAGUAAA